GGAAGGGUUGUAGCUUGGUGGUAGAGCACUGGUUUUGCAUGCAGAAGGCCCUGGGUUCAAUCCCCAGCAUUUCCA